rnacentral:rRNA from 1 species
GACGAACGCUGGCGGCGUGCUUAACACAUGCAAGUCGAACGGAAAGGCCCUGCUUUUGUGGGGUGCUCGAGUGGCGAACGGGUGAGUAACACGUGAGUAACCUGCCCUUGACUUUGGGAUAACUUCAGGAAACUGGGGCUAAUACCGGAUAGGAGCUCCUGCUGCAUGGUGGGGGUUGGAAAGUUUCGGCGGUUGGGGAUGGACUCGCGGCUUAUCAGCUUGUUGGUGGGGUAGUGGCUUACCAAGGCUUUGACGGGUAGCCGGCCUGAGAGGGUGACCGGGAAACAUGGGAACGGAGGACGGGCCAGGACGGGUAGGGAGGCAGCAGGGGGGAAUAGUGGACAAUGGGCGGGAGGCGGAAGGAGGAACGCCGGGGGGGGGAAGAAGGGCCUCGGGGUGGAAAACGGCUUCCCCGGGGAAGGAGGGGGAGGGAAGGGAAAGGGUAAAAAAGGAACGGCUAAACAAGGG